AUUGAACGCUGACGGCAGGCCUAACACAUGCAAGUCGAGCGGAUGAAGGGAGCUUGCUCCUGGCUUCAGCGGCGGACGGGUGAGUAAUGCCUAGGAAUCUGCCUGGUAGUGGGGGAUAACGUGCGGAACCGGGCGCUAAUACCGCAUACGUCCUGUGGGAGAAAGUGGGGGAUCUUCGGACCCCACGCUAUCAGAUGAGCCUAGGUCGGAUUAGCUAGUUGGUGGGGUAAAGGCCUACCAAGGCGACGAUCCGUAACUGGUCUGAGAGGAUGAUCAGUCACACUGGAACUGAGACACGGUCCAGACUCCUACGGGAGGCAGCAGUGGGGAAUGUUGUACAAUGGGCGAAAGCCUGAUCCAGCCAUGCCGCGUGUGUGAAGAAGGUCUUCGGAUUGUAAAGCUCUUUAAGUUGGGAGGAAGGACAGUAAGUUAAUACCGUGCUGUUUUGACGUUACCAACAGAAUAAGCACCGGCUAACUUCGUG
rnacentral:rRNA from 1 species